CGGAGGAUCCAAGCGUUAUCCGGAAUCAGUUGGGUUUAAAGGGUCCGUAGGCGGUUUAGUAAGUCAGUGGUGAAAGCCCAUCGCUCAACGGUGGAACGGCCAUUGAUACUGCUAGACUUGAAUUAUUAGGAAGUAACUAGAAUAUGUAGUGUAGCGGUGAAAUGCUUAGAGAUUACAUGGAAUACCAAUUGCGAAGGCAGGUUACUACUAAUGGAUUGACGCUGAUGGACGAAAGCGUGGGUAGCGAACAGGAUUAGAUACCCUGGUAGUCCACGCCGUAAACGAUGGAUACUAGCUGUUGGGAGCGAUCUCAGUGGCUAAGCGAAAGUGAUAAGUAUCCCACCUGGGGAGUACGUUCGCAAGAAUG
rnacentral:rRNA from 1 species